AGAACGGCUGUGAAGGAAAGAGUAAUUCAGUUCCGAGCUUUAUAGAGAGCCUGUGGCUGGUGAAAACAGGCAAGCUGAACUGGAUGAAUGGGAUCCCGAGCCUGACGAGUGAACGCUUUGGCCAUUAGCUUGUCACGUUUUCCGCGUUACGGAAGUGGAGUGGCCUUCGGGCAAUUCGGGUGGUACCACGGUUGAAUCACAUCAAUCGUCCCUAGU
rnacentral:ncRNA from 1 species